GUGGGGAAUAUUGCACAAUGGGCGAAAGCCUGAUGCAGCAACGCCGCGUGAAGGAAGAAGGCCUUCGGGUCGUAAACUUCUGUCCUUGGGGAAGAAGAACUGACGGUACCCAAGGAGGAAGCCCCGGCUAACUACGUGCCAGCAGCCGCGGUAAUACGUAGGGGGCAAGCGUUAUCCGGAAUUAUUGGGCGUAAAGAGUACGUAGGUGGCAACCUAAGCGCAGGGUUUAAGGCAAUGGCUCAACCAUUGUUCGCCCUGCGAACUGGGAUGCUUGAGUGCAGGAGAGGAAAGCGGAAUUCCUAGUGUAGCGGUGAAAUGCGUAGAUAUUAGGAGGAACACCAGUGGCGAAGGCGGCUUUCUGGACUGUAACUGACACUGAGGUACGAAAGCGUGGGGAGCAAACAGG
rnacentral:rRNA from 1 species